rnacentral:rRNA from 1 species
GAUGAACGCUGGCGGCGUGCCUAAUACAUGCAAGUCGAGCGAACAGACGAGGAGCUUGCUCCUCUGACGUUAGCGGCGGACGGGUGAGUAACACGUGGAUAACCUACCUAUAAGACUGGGAUAACUUCGGGAAACCGGAGCUAAUACCGGAUAGUAUAUUGAACCGCAUGGUUCAAUAGUGAAAUACGGUUUUGCUGUCACUUAUAGAUGGAUCCGCGCCGCAUUAGCUAGUUGGUAAGGUAACGGCUUACCAAGGCAACGAUGCGUAGCCGACCUGAGAGGGUGAUAGGCCACACUGGAACUGAGACACGGUCCAGACUCCUACGGGAGGCAGCAGUAGGGAAUCUUCCGCAAUGGGCGAAAGCCUGACGGAGCAACGCCGCGUGAGUGAUGAAGGUCUUCGGAUCGUAAAACUCUGUUAUUAGGGAAGAACAAAUGUGUAAGUAACUAUGCACGUCUUGACGGUACCUAAUCAGAAAGCCACGGCUAACUACGUG